AGAGUUUGAUCAUGGCUCAGAACGAACGCUGGCGGCAGGCUUAAUACAUGCAAGUCGAACGCCCACUUCGGUGGGAGUGGCAGACGGGUGAGUAACACGUGGGAACCUACCUAGGGGUACGGAAUAACUCAGGGAAACUUGUGCUAAUACCGUAUACGACCUCAGGGUGAAAGAUUUAUCGCCCCUAGAUGGGCCCGCGUUGGAUUAGCUAGUUGGUGAGGUAAAAGCUCACCAAGGCGACGAUCCAUAGCUGGUCUGAGAGGAUGAUCAGCCACACUGGGACUGAGACACGGCCCAGACUCCUACGGGAGGCAGCAGUAGGGAAUCUUGGACAAUGGGCGAAAGCCUGAUCCAGCCAUGCCGCGUGAGUGAUGAAGGCCUUAGGGUUGUAAAGCUCUUUCGCCAGGGAAGAUAAUGACGGUACCUGGAUAAGAAGCCCCGGCUAACUUCGUGCCAGCAGCCGCGGUAAUACGAAGGGGGCUAGCGUUGUUCGGAAUUACUGGGCGUAAAGCGCACGUAGGCGGCAUUCCAAGUUGGAGGUGAAAUCCCCGGGCUUAACCUGGGAACUGCCUCCAAAACUGGGAAGCUCGAGUCCGAGAGAGGUGAGUGGAAUUUCCAGUGUAGAGGUGAAAUUCGUAGAUAUUGGAAAGAACACCAGUGGCGAAGGCGGCUCACUGGCUCGGUACUGACGCUGAGGAGCGACAGCGUGGGGAGCAAACAGGAUUAGAUACCCUAGUAGUCC
rnacentral:rRNA from 1 species